rnacentral:tRNA from 1 species
GGCGGUGUAGCUCAGCUGGUUAGAGCGUCGGAAUCAUAAUCCGUAGGUCCGGGGUUCAAAUCCCUGCGCCGCUACCA